rnacentral:rRNA from 1 species
AGCAUGAUAAGCAUACCGCUCUGUGUGAAUAAGGCGUGCGGGUUGGAAGCACUUUCAGUAGGGAAGAUAAUGACGUUACCUACAGAAGAAGCACCGGCUAACUCCGUGCCAGCAGCCGCGGUAAUACGGAGGGUGCAAGCGUUAAUCGGAAUUACUGGGCGUAAAGCGUGCGUAGGCGGUUUUUUAAGUCAGAUGUGAAAUCCCCGGGCUCAACCUGGGAACUGCAUCUGAUACUGGGUGACUAGAAUCUGGGAGAGGGGAGUGGAAUUUCCGGUGUAGCGGUGAAAUGCAUAGAGAUCGGAAGGAACACCAGUGGCGAAGGCGACUCCCUGGACCAAGAUUGACGCUGAGGCACGAAAGCGUGGGUAGCAAACAGGAUUAGAUACCCUGGUAGUCCACGCCGUAAACGAUGUCAACUAGCCGUUGGUUUCAUAUAAGAGAUCAGUGGUGCAGCUAACGCAUUAAGUUGACCGCCUGGGGAGUACGGUCGCAAGACUAAAACUCAAAGAAAUUUGAC